GGGGGGGGGGGGGGGGGGGCCGGGGGCGGGCGGGGCGAGCGGGGGCGCGGGGGCUGGGGGCGGGUGGCGGGGGGCGGACGGGGGAGGAGUACAUCGGAACAGGUCCUGGAGUGGGGGAGAGCCCGGCGAAAGCCGGAUUAAUACCGCAGACGGGCCACGGAUGAAAGCGGGGGCCCUGCGGGCCUCGCGCUAUAUGGUUGGCCGAUGGCUGAGUAGCUAGUGGGUGGGGUAUAGGCCUACACAGGCGACGACCAGUAGCUGGUCUGAGAGCGAGACCAGCCACACGGGGACUGAGGCACGGCCCAGACUCCUACGGGAGGCAGCAGUGGGGAAUUUUGGACAAUGGGCGAAAGCCUGAUCCAGCAAUGCCGCGUGUGUGCAGAAGGCCUUCGGGUUGUAAAGCACUUUUGUCCGGAAAGAAAUCCUUGACUCUAAUCCAGUCGGGGGAUGACGGUACCGGAAGAAUAAGCACCGGCUAACUACGUG
rnacentral:rRNA from 1 species